UCGCGGGUGGUGCGAAAGACUUUCCGGGCGCGUCCGGGUGCCGCGGCUCUCCGGGCCCCCCUGCAGCCGGGGCGGCCAAGGGGCGUCGGCGACAUCCUCCCCCUAAGCGCCGGCCGGCCGCUGGUCUGUUUUUUCGUUUUCCCCGUUUCGGGGGUGGUGGGGGUUGCGGUUUCUGUUUCUUUAACCCGUCUGGGGUGUUUUUCGUUCCGUCGCCGGAAUGUUUCGUUCGUCUGUCCCCUCACGGGGCGAAGGCCGCGUACGGCCCGGGACGAGGGGCCCCCGACCGCGGCGGUCCGGGCCCCGUCCGGACCCGCUCGCCGGCACGCGACGCGAAAAAGGCCCCCCGGAGGCUUUUCCGGGUUCCCGGCCCGGGGCCUGAGAUGAACACUCGGGGUUACCGCCAACGGCCGGCCCCCGUGGCGGCCCGGCCCGGGGCCCCGGCGGACCCAAGGGGCCCCGGCCCGGGGCCCCACAACGGCCCGGCGCAUGCGCUGUGGUUUUUUUUUCCUCGGUGUUCUGCCGGGCUCCAUCGCCUUUCCUGUUCUCGCUUCUCCCCCCCCCCUUCUUCACCCCCAGUACCCUCCUCCCUCCCUUCCUCCCCCGUUAUCCCACUCGUCGAGGGCGCCCCGGUGUCGUUCAACAAAGACGCCGCGUUUCCAGGGCACCGACGGCCCCGCCCGAGGAGGCGGAAGCGGAGGAGGACGCGGCCCCGGCGGCGGAAGAGGCGGCCCCCGCGGGGGUCGGGGCCGAGGAGGAAGAGGCAGAGGAGGAAGAGGCGGAGGCCGCCGAGGACGUCAGGGGGGUCCCGGGCCCACCCUGGCCGCGCCCCCCCGGCCCUGAGUCGGAGGGGGGGUGCGUCGCCGCCCUCUUGGCCCCUGCCGGCGCGAGGGGGGGACGCGUGGACUGGGGGGAGGGGUUUUCCUGGCCCGACCCGCGCCUCUUCCUCGGACGCACCGCCGCCUCCUGCUCGACAGAGGCGGCGGAGGGGAGCGGGGCGGCGCCGGAGGGGGCGGCGCCGCGGGAGGGCCCGUGCCCACCCUCCACGCCCGGCCCCCCCGAGCCGCGCGCCACCGUCGCACGCGCCCGGCACAGACUCUGUUCUUGGUUCGCGGCCUGAGCCAGGGACGAGUGCGACUGGGGCACACGGCGCGCGUCCGCGGGGCGGGCGGCCGGCUCCGCCCCGGGGGCCGGGGCGCGGGGGCCGGGCCCCGGAGGCGGCGCUCGCACGCACGGGGCCACGGCCGCGCGGGGGCGCGCGGGUCCCGACGCGGCCGCGGACGCGGGGGGCCCGGGGCGGGGGGCGGAGCCUGGCAUGGGCGCCGCGGGGGGCCUGUGGGGAGAGGCCGGGGGGGAGUCGCUGAUCACUAUGGGGUCUCUGUUGUUUGCAAGGGGGGCGGGUCUGUUGACAAGGGGGCCCGUCCGGCCCCUCGGCCGCCCCGCCUCCGCUUCAACAACCCCAACCCCAACCCCAACCCCCCCGGAGGGGCCAGACGCCCCCCGCGGCGCCGCGGCUCGCGACUGGCGGGAGCCGCCGCCGCCGCUGCUGUUGGUGGUGGUGUUGGUGUUACUGCUGCCGUGUGGCCCGAUGGGCGCCGAGGGGGGCGCUGUCCGAGCCGCGGCCGGCUGGGGGGCUGCGUGAGACGCCCCGCCCGUCACGGGGGGCGCGGCGGCGCCUCUGCGUGGGGGGGCGCGGGGCGUCCGGCGGGGGGCGGGCGGUACGUAGUCUGCUGCAAGAGACAACGGGGGGCGCGAUCAGGUUACGCCCCCUCCCCGGCCCGCCCUUUCCUCGCCCGCCCGCCUAUUNNNNCCUCCCCCCCCCCCCCCCCCCCUCCUCCUCCCCCAGGGUCCUUGCCGCCCCCCGCCUCACCGUCGUCCAGGUCGUCGUCAUCCUCGUCCGUGGUGGGCUCCGGGUGGGUGGGCGACAGGGCCCUCACCGUGUGCCCCCCCAGGGUCAGGUACCGCGGGGCGAACCGCUGAUUGCCCGUCCAGAUAAAGUCCACGGCCGUGCCCGCCCUGACGGCCUCCUCGGCCUCCAUGCGGGUCUGGGGGUCGUUCACGAUCGGGAUGGUGCUGAACGACCCGCUGGGCGUCACGCCCACUAUCAGGUACACCAGCUUGGCGUUGCACAGCGGGCAGGUGUUGCGCAAUUGCAUCCAGGUUUUCAUGCACGGGAUGCAGAAGCGGUGCAUGCACGGGAAGGUGUCGCAGCGCAGGUGGGGCGCGAUCUCAUCCGUGCACACGGCGCACACGUCGCCCUCGUCGCUCCCCCCGUCCUCUCGAGGGGGGGCGCCCCCGCAACUGCCGGGGUCUUCCUCGCGGGGGGGGCUCCCCCCCGAGACCGCCCCCCCAUCCACGCCCUGCGGCCCCAGCAGCCCCGUCUCGAACAGUUCCGUGUCCGUGCUGUCCGCCUCGGAGGCGGAGUCGUCGUCAUGGUGGUCGGCGUCCCCCCGCCCCCCCACUUCGGUCUCCGCCUCAGAGUCGCUGCUGUCCGGCAGGUCUCGGUCGCAGGGAAACACCCAGACAUCCGGGGCGGGCUAAGGGGAAAAAAGGGGGGCGGGUAAGAAUGGGGGGGGGAUUUCCCGCGUCAAUCAGCACCCACGAGUUCCCCCUCUCCCCCCCCCGCCUCACAAAGUCCUGCCCCCCUGCUGGCCUCGGAAGAGGGGGGAGAAAGGGGUCUGCAACCAAAGGUGGUCUGGGUCCGUCCUUUGGAUCCCGACCCCUCUUCUUCCCUCUUCUCCCGCCCUCCAGACGCACCGGAGUCGGGGGUCCCACGGCGUCCCCCAAAUAUGGCGGGCGGCUCCUCCCCACCCCCCUAGAUGCGUGUGAGUAAGGGGGGCCUGCGUAUGAGUCAGUGGGGACCACGCCCCCAACACGGCGACCCCGGUCCCUGUGUGUUUGUUGUGGGGGCGUGUCUCUGUGUAUGAGUCAGGGGGUCCCACGGCGACCCCGGGCCCUGCGUCUGAGUCAAAGGGGCCAUGUGUAUGUGUUGGGGGUCUGUAUAUAUAAAGUCAGGGGGUCACAUGGCGACCCCCAACAGGGCGACCCCGGUCCCUGUAUAUAUAGGGUCAGGGGGUUCCGCACCCCCUAACAUGGCGCCCCCGGUCCCUGUAUAUAUAGUGUCACGGGGUUCCACGCCCCCUAACAUGGCGCCCCAACAUGGCGCCCGGCUCCCGUGUAUGAGUGGGGGUCCCCCAACAUGGCGGCCGGUUCCAGUGUAAGGGUCGGGGGUCCCCCAACAUGGCGCCCCCCAAUAUGGCGCCCCCCAAUAUGGCGCCCCAGACAUGGCGCCCGGCCCCUCACCUCGCGCUGGGGGCGGCCCUCAGGCCGGCGGGUACUCGCUCCGGGGCGGGGCUCCAUGGGGGUCGUAUGCGGCUGGAGGGUCGCGGACGGAGGGUCCCUGGGGGUCGCAACGUAGGCGGGGCUUCUGUGGUGAUGCGGAGAGGGGGCGGCCCGAGUCUGCCUGGCUGCUGCGUCUCGCUCCGAGUGCCGAGGUGCAAAUGCGACCAGACUGUCGGGCCAGGGCUAACUUAUACCCCACGCCUUUCCCCUCCCCAAAGGGGCGGCAGUGACGAUUCCCCCAAUGGCCGCGCGUCCCAGGGGAGGCAGGCCCACCGCGGGGCGGCCCCGUCCCCGGGGACCAACCCGGCGCCCCCAAAGAAUAUCAUUAGCAUGCACGGCCCGGCCCCCGAUUUGGGGGCCCAACCCGGUGUCCCCCAAAGAACCCCAUUAGCAUGCCCCUCCCGCCGACGCAACAGGGGCUUGGCCUGCGUCGGUGCCCCGGGGCUUCCCGCCUUCCCGAAGAAACUCAUUACCAUACCCGGAACCCCAGGGGACCAAUGCGGGUUCAUUGAGCGACCCGCGGGCCAAUGCGCGAGGGGCCGUGUGUUCCGCCAAAAAAGCAAUUAGCAUAACCCGGAACCCCAGGGGAGUGGUUACGCGCGGCGCGGGAGGCGGGGAAUACCGGGGUUGCCCAUUAAGGGCCGCGGGAAUUGCCGGAAGCGGGAAGGGCGGCCGGGGCCGCCCAUUAAUGAGUUUCUAAUUACCAUACCGGGAAGCGGAACAAGGCCUCUUGCAAGUUUUUAAUUACCAUACCGGGAAGUGGGCGGCCCGGCCCAUUGGGCGGUAACUCCCGCCCAAUGGGCCGGGCCCCGAAGACUCGGCGGACGCUGGUUGGCCGGGCCCCGCCGCGCUGGCGGCCGCCGAUUGGCCAGUCCCGCCCCCGAGGCGGGCCCGCCCUGUGAGGGCGGGCUGGCUCCAAGCGUAUAUAUGCGCGGCUCCUGCCAUCGUCUCUCCGGAGAGCGGCUUGGUGCGGAGCUCCCGGGAGCUCCGCGGAAGACCCAGGCCGCCUCGGGUGUAACGUUAGACCGAGUUCGCCGGGCCGGCUCCGCGGGCCAGGGCCCGGGCACGGGCCUCGGGCCCCAGGCACGGCCCGAUGACCGCCUCGGCCUCCGCCACCCGGCGCCGGAACCGAGCCCGGUCGGCCCGCUCGCGGGCCCACGAGCCGCGGCGCGCCAGGCGGGCGGCCGAGGCCCAGACCACCAGGUGGCGCACCCGGACGUGGGGCGAGAAGCGCACCCGCGCGGGGGUCGCGGGGGUCGCGGGGGUCGCGGGGGUCGCGGGGGUCGCGGGGGGCUCCGGCGCCCCCUCCCCGCCCGCGCGUCGCAGGCGCAGGCGCGCCAGGUGCUCCGCGGUGACGCGCAGGCGGAGGGCGAGGCGCGGCGGAAGGCGGAAGGGGCGCGAGGGGGGGUGGGAGGGGUCAGCCCCGCCCCCCGGGCCCACGCCGGGCGGUGGGGGCCGGGGCCGGGGGGCGGCGGCGGUGGGCCGGGCCUCUGGCGCCGGCUCGGGCGGGGGGCUGUCCGGCCAGUCGUCGUCAUCGUCGUCGUCGGACGCGGACUCGGGAACGUGGAGCCACUGGCGCAGCAGCAGCGAACAAGAAGGCGGGGGCCCACCGGCGGGGGGCGGCGGCGGGGCGGCCGCGGGCGCGCUCCUGACCGCGGGUUCCGAGUUGGGCGUGGAGGUUACCUGGGACUGUGCGGUUGGGACGGCGCCCGUGGGCCCGGGCGGCCGGGGGCGGCGGGGGCCGCGAUGGCGGCGGCGGCGGGCCAUGGAGACAGAGAGCGUGCCGGGGUGGUAGAGUUUGACAGGCAAGCAUGUGCGUGCAGAGGCGAGUAGUGCUUGCCUGUCUAACUCGCUAGUCUCGGCCGCGGGGGGCCCGGGCUGCCCGCCGCCGCCGCUUUAAAGGGCCGCGCGCGACCCCCGGGGGGUGUGUUUUGGGGGGGGCCCGUUUUCGGGGUCUGGCCGCUCCUCCCCCCGCUCCUCCCCCCGCUCCUCCCCCCGCUCCUCCCCCCGCUCCUCCCCCCGCUCCUCCCCCCGCUCCUCCCCCCGCUCCUCCCCCCGCUCCUCCCCCCGCUCCUCCCCCCGCUCCUCCCCCCGCUCCUCCCCCCGCUCCUCCCCCCGCUCCUCCCCCCGCUCCUCCCCCCGCUCCUCCCCCCGCUCCCCCCCCCGCUCCUCCCCCCGCUCCCGCGGCCCCGCCCCCCACGCCCGCCGCGCGCGCGCACGCCGCCCGGACCGCCGCCCGCCUUUUUUGCGCGCGCGCGCGCCCGCGGGGGGCCCGGGC
rnacentral:sRNA from 1 species